AGGAAGGAUAAGAUUGCAACUAUAGGCACUGCUAGUGGUCCUGAACUUAGAAGACUCCAAACACAGGAUGUUUCUGAUAAUCCUGAGUAUUCUAUUACUGACAAAUAUAAUCAAAGACAUCAUACUGGUGAAAGAUGUUUCACUAUAUUAAAUGAAGAUUGCGAAGUCGAAAACAGUCCCAAAUCUUUUUCUGCAGCUGUAAAGAAUGAACUUCUUGAGAGGGGAAAUAAUUCAGCUUUAGUCAACGAGGACUCAGCUUUGGACUCUUGGAGGACUGCUGAUCCUAUUAAAAUGG
rnacentral:lncRNA from 1 species